rnacentral:rRNA from 1 species
GGAAUGCUGCUCUAAAUGGGAGGUAAAUUUCUUCUAAAGCUAAAUACCGGCCAGAGACCGAUAGCGCACAAGUAGAGUGAUCGAAAGAUGAAAAGCACUUUGAAAAGAGGGUUAAAUAGCACGUGAAAUUGUUGAAAGGGAAGCGCUUAUGACCAGACUUUUUCCUGGCGGAUCAUCCGGUGUUCUCACCGGUGCACUUCGCUUGGUUUAGGCCAGCAUCGGUUUCCGUAGGGGGAUAAAAGCUUCGGUAAUGUGGCUCUCUCGGGAGUGUUAUAGACCGUUGCAUAAUACCCUUCUGGGGACCGAGGUUCGCGCUCUGCAAGGAUGCUGGCAUAAUGGUCAUCAGCGACCCGUCUUGAAACACGGACCAAGGAGUCGAACAUUUGUGCGAGUGUUUGGGUGUUAAACCCUCACGCGUAAUGAAAGUGAACGGAGGUGAGAGCCUUUUAGGUGCAUCAUCGACCGAUCCUGAAGUUUACGGAUGGAUUUGAGUAAGAGCAUAACUGUUCGGACCCGAAAGAUGGUGAACUAUGCGUGGAUAGGGUGAAGCCAGAGGAAACUCUGGUGGAGGCUCGCAGCGGUUCUGACGUGCAAAUCGAUCGUCAAAUCUGCGCAUGGGGGCGAAAGACUAAUCGAACCAUUAAAGACCAGCGGUAAAAUUACUUUACUAGGUGGUUAAGAGGUGACCCGAGAGGGUUGCGAGAUACCUAGGUUGGGCCGGGCUACCCGGUACCUCUCGGCGGAGCUACCCGGUAGCACAUGCUGAGGGGAGCUACCCGGUACCCUUAGCGGGGCUACCCGGGAGCACCAACCGACACCGCUAAAUUGCGGGGACAUCCUACGAGG